UUUUUGUCACCGGAUUAUGGUGUAACGGUUUGGCUUCCGCUGACCGUUAGUAAUAGGGAAUCCGGUGCAAGUCCGGAGCUGUACCCGUAGCUGUAAGUUCUGCAACCCCGGCAAAUCUUGUUGCCACUGAGGAUUUUAGGAUCCUUGGGAAGGCGGCCGAUCAUGGGAGAACAAGUCAGAAAACCUGCCAUUAUUCUAUAUAUACAA
rnacentral:ncRNA from 20 species